CGGCUGGCGGCGUGCCUAACACAUGCAAGUCGAGCGAUGAAGUUUCCUUCGGGAAAUGGAUUAGCGGCGGACGGGUGAGUAACACGUGGGUAACCUGCCUCAUAGUGGGGAAUAGCCUUUCGAAAGGAAGAUUAAUACCGCAUAAGAUUGUAGUUUCGCAUGAAACAGCAAUUAAAGAAGCAAUUCGCUAUGAGAUGGACCCGCGGCGCAUUAGCUAGUUGGUGAGGUAACGGCUCACCCAAGGCCACGAUGCGUAGCCGACCUGAGAGGGUGAUCGGCCACAUUGGGACUGAGACACGGCCCAGACUCCUACGGGAGGCAGCAGUGGGGAAUAUUGCACAAUGGGGGAAACCCUGAUGCAGCAACGCCGCGUGAGUGAUGACGGUCUUCGGAUUGUAAAGCUCUGUCUUUAGGGACGAUAAUGACGGUACCUAAGGAGGAAGCCACGGCUAACUACGUG
rnacentral:rRNA from 1 species